AGGGGAGUGGCUCAACGGUAGAGCAACGGUCUCCAAAACCGUCGGCUGCAGGUUCGAAUCCUGUCUCCCCUGCCA
rnacentral:tRNA from 1 species